rnacentral:rRNA from 1 species
UACGAGGGGGGCAAGUGUUGUUCGGAAUUACUGGGCGUAAAGGGCGCGUAGGCGGCCUUCUAAGUCAGACGUGAAAUCCCCAGGCUUAACUUGGGAACUGCGUCUGAUACUGGAAGGCUUGAGUGCGGGAGAGGGAUGUGGAAUUCCAGGUGUAGCGGUGAAAUGCGUAGAUAUCUGGAGGAACACCGGUGGCGAAGGCGGCAUCCUGGACCGACACUGACGCUGAGGCGCGAAAGCCAGGGGAGCAAACGGG